AAGGAUCAUUACCGCCAUUUAUACACCUGGACUGGCCUCGGUCAGUCUGGAAAACCUGAAACUUAAAUAACUGAAAAUUUUCAACGGUGGAUAUCUCGGUUCUCAUAACGAGGAAGAACGCAGCGAACUGCGAUACGCAAUGUGAAUUGCAGGACCCGCGAGUCAUCAGAUCUUUGAACGCAUUAAGCGUCGGAGUGAAACUCACCCCGACAUGUCCGCUUCAGUGUUGAAUUCAUCACCAUCUUAGUGCAGGCGAAUGUCCGCAUUCCCUGUUAAACAAGAGUGCGCUGCACUCGAGUCCACGAAGUAGUCACUCUGCCUCGGCAGUCGUGAUCUCGCUGGUCCUCGACUGAGAGCGCUCAGACCUCUGGUCUUUGAAAAU
rnacentral:rRNA from 1 species